AUUUUUCUUUCUUUUUUUAAUAACAAAAGGUGUAAAUAUAGUGGAUGUACAGUAAUUACCAAUCUAUGAAGCCAAAACCCAAGAAAAGUACCAAAUCUGAAGUGAUUUUUGAAGAAUACCUUAAAACUGCAGGAGCAACAAAGAAGAGAGAAGAAGAGAAAUCAAUGGUCCAAAUUAACACCCCCAUCUUCUUCUUUAUCUCUUUUUUUUUGUUUUUGUUUUUGUAUCUGACUGAGUCUUUGUUGUCUUUCUCUCAAGAAUUCGUCAUACAUACACACACAAUACAAAACGGGCAAAAGGGGACGGAG
rnacentral:misc_RNA from 1 species